rnacentral:lncRNA from 1 species
ACCUAUAUGCCAUACCAGUGUCUCCAUACUCCUUGGUUAAGAGGACAACCAACCCAUAUGGCACACAAUGACCUAUGCUUGAUAAACGUUGUCAUCCUUGGUAACAACGUAUCAUUUGGUCGUGAACAGAUUUAAGGACUAAACGAUAAAUCCUCCUUUGUCGAGUCUAAAUAGUCCUAAGGACUUCACCACAACAUAGGAGUUCAUUAGAAGAUG